GACGAACGCUGCCGGCGUGCUUAACACAUGCAAGUCGAACGGGAUCCACUGGGCUUUUGUUUGGUGGUAGAGUGGCGAACGGGUGAGUAAUGCGUGACUAACCUGCCGUAUGGUUGGGGAUAGCUCCUGGAAACGGGUGGUAAUACCCAAUGCUCCAGCUGGAUGCAUGUCUGGUUGGGAAAGCUUUUGUGCCAUAUGAUGGGGUCGCGUCCUAUCAGCUUGUUGGUGGGGUGAUGGCCUACCAAGGCGUCGACGGGUAGCCGGCCUAAGAGGGCGACCGGCCACAUUGGGACUGAGAUACGGCCCAGACUCCUACGGGAGGCAGCAGUGGGGAAUAUUGCACAAUGGGCGCAAGCCUGAUGCAGCGACGCCGCGUGCGGGAUGGAGGCCUUCGGGUUGUAAACCGCUUUUAUAGGGGGGCAAGCUAUGCCUGUGUGGUGUGGUGAGUGGACUUUAUGAAUAAGCACGGCU
rnacentral:rRNA from 1 species